GUCUCUGGAGACUAACAUUUACUGCUACUACUAGCUAACGGCAAAGGAGCAUGUCUAAAAUGAUUUUCAUUGGUCAACGAGUCUACGUCGACAGUAUGCAAGCCAGGCUCUGUCUCAACAGAAAAAUAAAUAGAUUACCGCAGAGCAACUUCAGCCUGUAACCAGCUAGCUUUCUAGAUGUAGAAGUAGCUUCGUAAUGGUGAAAUGCGCCAUGCAAACCUUUCAACCACCAUUCCAGUAUGUUCCCAGUCACCUGGAAUUACAAAUAGAAUCUACAUUAUCAUGAAGAAAAUUAUACGGUAACCAUUGAUAAUUACAUCACCAGCUGGUCACAUGACCUCGUCAUGCAUCAUCAUCCGCCGCCAUUUUGUCAGUAUGCAUCGGAGGCAGAAAAUUUAUUCAAGCUCUGAAGUCCCAAACAACUGAAAAUGCUCCAAAACACCAUCACGUGACCCUGGUAUUCUCAAAGGGCUGGUGAAAGUGUUUGUUUUGUAGGCCUAAAUGUUUGUUGAUAGUAGAGAGGCUGAUUGAUAGACUUUAUAACAAGUCAUGAUCAACAUUCCCCAACUGUUAGUUAAUUACACUGUAGCAGACACUACAUCUGCCUAUGAGCAAUGGACAGAACUGAGAAUACCAUAUCAUGAACCGUAGUGAACAUUGCUGGCAACAUCCUGUUUUAGGAUCGAUUUCUCUACAUACAAGCCCCACCAGUGCAGUUGGCACACAACAGCAUCCCUCCUGAUCAAGUGAAAAGGAAUCCUAUGACACCGCUUGAUCUUUGUCUGACAUGGAAAUUUGCAAAUCAAAUAAGGUGGAAGAAUAACAUCUGGUUAAAAAAUUUAUGUGGAAAAAUAUCUGCUUUAAAGUGAUGUCAUGAACUGGAUGCUGCACUCUUGAUUCCAACACUAAUAUUGUCAUGACCAAAUGUUAAAGUUCAUAUUCAGCAAGUUGAAGAUAACUGACACCAUCUUAAAGUAUAAGUUUCACAAAUAUGGUAUUCAGAAGUUUUUUGUUUUCACUACUGAUGUAUAUAUAGUAUAAAAAAAUUGAUUUCUGUAAUAGAAUAAAGUAUUGGAAUACA